rnacentral:rRNA from 1 species
GACAGAGGGUGCAAACGUUGCUCGGAAUCACUGAGCGUAAAGGGCGUGUAGGCGGGAAGGAAAGUCAGAUGUGAAAUCCCUGGGCUCAACCCAGGAACUGCAUUUGAAACUCCCUUUCUUGAGUGUCGGAGAGGAAAGUGGAAUUCCUGGUGUAGAGGUGAAAUUCGUAGAUAUCAGGAGGAACACCGGUGGCGAAGGCGGCUUUCUGGACGACAACUGACGCUGAGACGCGAAAGCGUGGGGAGCAAACAGG